UGCUACCUUCGCGGCUGCAACCUUCUCAGCCCCGGCCUCCGGCACUACCCAAGCAUCCGGCUGGAAGCGCAAGUGGCGCCCGAACAGGGACGAGACCAGACCAGACCCGAUCUGAUCAGAAAUAAAACAGCAGAAGAAGCCCCAACGUGAGUUUUGCACAGCCACACCUUUUUCCCGCUGUCCUCAGAAGCACGCAAAAAUCCCUCCCAACGACUGAAGAAUCAAGAAGCUGCAAAAUCAACUUUUCUACUUCUUCACAAACAAAAGGGGGGAGAUGCUGCUGCCCCUCAGAACAAUUUGUUACUUAAACUGUAAUCCCUGGAGGAUUUUACUAGUUGCCAAGCACAUUUAGAUAGGGCCUUAA